GUGAUAGAACAGGGCGGAAAGGCCAUGGAUUCAAGGCCUCACCUUGUCAUUCAGUUGGCUGGGUGGCCUUGGACAAGCCUUAGUUGCUGUUUGAGGAAAACAUGGGCGGAGAAAGUAGAUCCUCUGUGAAGAGAACUCCUGGCUCUAGCUCUGUAAAAUCUCCCAGCUCCAUUUCUUCUACUUCCCACAGUCUGGGUUAUUUCGCAGUUUCCCCAAAGCCGGAUUCUAUGUGACAAAGGGCCAGACCAUAGGCUUCCUGGAAGGCUCCAAAUGGGAGAAGGCCUGAGGAGAUCCCUGCCUCCCCUGGAAUCCUCCCCAGGAAGGAGCCACUAAAUGAGUUGAUAGAGAAAUGAGUUCGGAAGAAGCCUCCCGGUUUGGAAUAACAAGUGUUGGUGAGGACGUGGGAGAGUUGGAGCCCUCCUAACCGCUGUUGGGAACCCAGAAUGUUGCAGCCACUUUGGAAAAUGGUUCAGCAGUUCCUCAAAACAUUAAACACAGAAUUACCAUAUAACUUCGCAAUUCCUCUCCUGAGCAUAGAUGCAAGAAAAAUUUAAAAAUUAAGAAAAUUAAAAAAAAAAAAUACAUCCACAUAAAACCUGUGUACAGAUGUCAGAGCGUUAUUAUUACCCACAAGAGCCCCAAAGUGGAAGCAAUCCAAAUGUUUGCCAACAUGUGAACAAGCCCAAGGAAGACAACGAGGUAUAUCCAUACAAUGGACUAUCUUUCGGUCAUUCACGUAAAGAAAGGCCAACUGGAUACAUUCUGGCAGCAGGAAUGAACCCUGAAGCCUAAUGGUAAGUGAAAGAAGCCAACCAAAAAGACCACAGUUCAUAAGCUUCCAUUUAUACGAAGUGUUCAGAAUAGGCAAAUCUAUAGAGACAGAAAAUAGAUCAGUGGUCGCCCGGGGCUGGGGUGGUGAUGGUAACGGGGAGUGACCGCUAAUGGGUACUGAGUUUCUUUUUGGGUUGAUGAAAAUGUUCUAAAAUGAGAUGACAGCAAUGACUGCACAGCUCUGUAAAUACCCACCAAAGAAACUGUAGAAUUGUAAACUCAAUAUAGGUGAAUUCUAUGGUAUAAAAAUUAGAUCUCAAUAAGACUUUAUUUUUUUUAAAUUUUUUAUUUAUUUAUUUUUUAAGUAGGCUCCAUGCCCAACGUGGGGCUCGAACUCACAACCCAGCCAGAUGCCCCUUGAUAAAAUUUUUUUUCAUGUAUUCCAAUUUGGAGAAUAAAUUCUAUGAUCACCUCCUACCUAAGGAGGCCUCACCAUUCGCAAUUGAGAGCACAGGGACUUUUGAGUUAGACCACCUGACUCUAUCCCUCCCUUGCGUGACCUGGGGAAAAUGAUCUGAUUUUUCAUCUGCAAAACAGGGUAGUCAUGCCUCCCUCAGAGGCUUGUUGUAAUGUAAGAUAAUGCAUGACAAGUACGGGGAGCCCCCCCAACCCCAUGUGCAAAGUGUUCCACUUUUAGCAAAAGUCUACACAGGAUAGACGGAUGGAUGGAUGGAUGGGCGGAUGGAUGGGCCAAUGGGCGAAGCAGGCCUGAAGCAACUCAAGAUUCAGAGAGCAGAUCACACUCAUUCCAUGAAACAAGAUACUCUCUUAAAAAGGAACUCAAGGAGAA